rnacentral:rRNA from 1 species
GACGUAGGGGGCAAGCGUUGUCCGGAAUUAUUGGGCGUAAAGCGCUCGUAGGCGGAUCGGUAAGUCUGUGAAGAAAGACCCGGGCUCAACUCGGGGAACGGCAUAGAUACUGCUGAUCUUGAGACAGUCAGAGGAUGAUGGAAUUCCAGGUGUAGCGGUGAAAAUGCGUAGAUAUCUGGAGGAACACCAGUGGCGAAGGCGAUCAUCUGGGGCUGUUCUGACGCUGAGGAGCGAAAGCUAGGGGAGCAAACGGG